rnacentral:rRNA from 1 species
CGCACUGCUCAGUAACACGUGGACAACCUGCCCUGAGGACUGGAAUAAUCCCGGGAAACUGGGGGUAAUUCCAGAUAUGUCAGAACUCCUGGAAUGGGUUCUGGCAGAAAGGCUCCGGCGCCUCAGGAUGGGUCUGCGGCCUAUCAGGGUAGUAGUGGGUGUAACGUACCUACUAGCCUACGACGGGUACGGGUUGUGAGAGCAAGAGCCCGGAGAUGGAUUCUGAGACAUGAAUCCAGGCCCUACGGGGUGCAGCAGGCGCGAAAACUUUACAAUGCGGGCAACCGCGAUAAGGGGACCUCGAGUGCUGGGUUACAAACCUGGCUGUUGGGCUGCCUAAGAAGCAGUCUAUAGCAAGGGCCGGGCAAGACCGGUGCCAGCCGCCGCGGUAACACCGGCGGCUCGAGUGGUAACCGCUAUUAUUGGGUCUAAAGGGUCUGUAGCCGGCCGACUAAGUCUCUUGGGAAAUCUGGCAUCUCAAGUGUCAGGCUGCCAGGGGAUACUGGUCGGCUUGGGACCGGGAGAGGUGAGAGGUACCUCGGGGGUAGGGGUGAAAUCUUGUAAUCCUCGAGGGACCACCAGUGGCGAAGGCGUCUCACC